UACGUAGGGGGCAAGCGUUGUCCGGAAUUAUUGGGCGUAAAGCGCACGUAGGCGGAUUUGUAAGUCAGGGGUGAAAUCCCGGGGCUCAACCUCGGAACUGCCUUUGAUACUGCGAAUCUCGAGUCCGGAAGAGGUGAGUGGAAUUCCGUAGUGUAGAGGUGAAAUUCGUAGAUAUUAGGAAGAACACCAGUGGCGAAGGCGGCUCACUGGUCCGGUACUGACGCUGAGGUGCGAAAGCGUGGGGAGCAAACAGG
rnacentral:rRNA from 1 species